UUUUUUCUUAUAACGCAGAAAAAAAGAAAAAACUAUGUGAAAAAGAAAACUAUGUGCUAUAACGUCAAGUUCUAACGUUGCAUAAAAUACGUGGAUUAAAUAAAACAUUUAAUAUUUUAGUUUUCAGUUUAAUAUAACUACAGACUCAAACACCUACUUUUAUCAUUACGAUUGUGCAGAAAAUUGAGGGGAAAAAACGAAAUCAUAAUUCCAAUGAAAUCCUUUCACAGUACUGCAGGCUGCAUCGAGAAAUUAUUCUCUUAAAAUGCUCUAUGAGUUACAGUACUGAAGAGUUGACAUUACUGUAGUUUAAUUUGCUGUAUUACUGCAAUAUUCCGAUAGGGAUAUGUGUCUCUGCUGCUAAACACUGAGUUUAAUGGUUUAUUGUAUUUUUAUCUCGGUAAUAUUCCUGCUGCUGUAUAUGAAUUCUUAUAAACUCUCCCGCAGUUUAGUCCCAUAAUACGUUUUCUCAGGUUUUAAUUAGGCCGCACUCCAUGAAGUUCCCCCACUGCUUCACUGCAUUAAGCUUUUUAGUGAAUCUGAAGGGUUAACUCCUGCAGCCUGUGGUGAAGAAGGCUGAUAAAGUCGCUGGAGGCACAAUAUAAUUUAUUAUCUGUCAGAAAUAAUCGAUUUUGACAACAGUUCUCACAGUUUCUCAAAAGGUCAGACUGAUGCAGAACACGUCGCCGUUUUAACUGGCAAACAGGUUGCUUAAAUCUGAUUUUAAAAAAAAACUCUUGUUAGAAGGUACAAAUGCGAGGCAAAUAAGAAAAAACAAGAGUAAGGUAAACAUGAAACAUGAAAAAACAAGCACAUUAAAGUUUCAAUCUAAAUACAAAAUAAAUGUAAAAAUUGACAACAUAUUUAAGUCAACUAAUAGCCAGUAACAAAUAAAAAAAAAGUAAGUGGGCAUAAAUAACAUUUUAACACUGUAAAAACCUAAACACGUAACACCCAUGCAGCAAUAUUUCUCACUUUAUGCUGUAAAUGCCGCAUUUUGCAGGAUUUUAGACGUUAGUCAGAUAUAACAACAUAUCUGACUGGGCUGUGGCAAUUUAGGCUUUCUGCAAAAACAAAAAAAACGGGAAAAAAAAGAUUUGAAGAUUGUGCACGUGCAUGCACUAUGCAUGUAAUUUUGCACGCACCAACAUGUGUGCUCUUGUACCAUGUAACAUAUUUCCUUGACCGUGCAGGCUGGCCACAUUUUCCUCAUCCACAUUCUCUAAAACCGCCACUAGAUGUCACCAUUUAGUCGUCUGGUCGAACCCCCCCUAACCUUCACCCUCCUCUUCCUCAUCAUCAGUCUCCAAAAGCUGUUCAUGUACAUCGAGCAGACACAGUCUAAUUAAGCCUGUGUACUCUCCACUAACUGCUUUACCGACUGUCUUUUAGUGGUGUCAGUGUGAGAUACUGAUUAUUCCUCCCUGAUCAUUUAAAUCUACACCUUAUUGUUUAAGAUCCGACUGUAAAAAGAAAUAUACUAUGUCAUGUUGUAAAAACAGCAGUGAGCUAAUAAUAAUAAUAAUAAUAACAACAAAAAUAAUAGCCUAAUAAUAAUAAUAAUAAUAAUAAUAAUAAUCAUACAAAUAUUAAUAAAUGUGAGCUUUCACAUUUCACAAAGAACAAGCUAUAAACUUAUGUCUGUCUCCUAUUAAUAAAGGGGGGCGGGGGGGGGGGGGGGGUUAUCAGUCCAUGGUGAAUGACACACCACACCUUUACAACUACAGGCUGCAUGCAUGCUAUUAAAAAAUAGCAUGGCUGCUUCUUUAACUUGGAGGUGUUUCAUUACACCAAUUUGAAAACAGUAUCUCCUGUGCCAGAUAAGGCUCGCUUUGUUCUUGUUACAAAGUGCAUCAUAAGCUGAUAUCUGGUCACAAAUUUGUGGGGAAAAAAUAUGUAUUUUAAUAUAGGAUUUUUGCCUCACUGGUGAUUUCUGGAAAGAAAAUGACGGUCCAUGCUGGUUUUGCUUGCUUCGUUUUAAAUGGAAUAUUCAGCCGAAUUAUUGGUUCAUUUUAUAACUAUUUAGAGCAUUUUAUAUAAAUAUAAAUAAAUGUAUACAAAAUGCUCUAAUUUGUCCUUGAUUCUAAACAUUGGAAUCUACAAGUUUUUAUUUGGCUCGAACACGCGGCCUGGUGGCUGUAUCAUCAUCACGCUUUAUCCUUAAUACAACCAAAUCGUUUCAUCAAGAGGAACAGAUAAUGCAGAAUGUUUAUCAAUUGUUUCUCCUAUGCAUGAUUUAAAUCAGGCUCACCGCACAGCUCUCCUCUCUAUAACUCCCAUCAAGACUCUGGACCUGCACAGUGGUCAGUAGAAAUAAAGUGUGUUUAAAAAAUAAAAGUGAGGUGAUUUAUCCUGCUAAUCUUGAAGGUCCACCUCUCCCAGUAAGAAGCGAUGAUAACGAAUUGAUUCAUUUUCUUAAUGCGAAGAUGACACCCACCAAUCGAAAGAAUCAGACAUUACACUAGUUUUGUUUAAUCUUCUAUGAAAACUUCCUCAACUUUCCCCACCCCAAAUUCCCAUUAAACUUUUAUCUGUCAUUAAAAACAGAUAUAAAUAGGUCAAGAAUUAUAGUUUGAUUUUAUCCUGCGUAAAAUCCUGCACAUGAGCUUUUAUUUUUUGAAGGUAAACGAAGGUGUGUUUCUUUUCUAAGGAGGUGGUGAAAACGCAACAGAGGAUGAUGAGUGGAGUAUUUAGGCUCCCUGAGAGCAACCUAUGAGUAACGUGUUCUAAUAAUUCACAACAAGUUAUGGGUAAAUAUGAGGGGUUUUUUUAGAGUGAGAAGCCAAGCAUAGAGGUGGGGUACUGGACUCCCGUGGCUUUGAAUAUCUUUACGCGAGCCAGCCCUGACCACUGGUGUUGAGCCACGAUCAGUUUAAGAGCAAGGUUCAAUGACGAAGGGAGUAGCCUGUGGGGACUGCAUCUAUCUGCUUUGACUGAUUCCAGAAAGUUUGCCCUUCUCAGCAACUACUUGAUAGAAACCUCGCACCUUGUUACAGCAACAGCACCGCUGGAUGUUGUUAAUUUCAGUGAUGGAGAAAGGGAGCUGUGGAGAACUACAGGCGGCAGGAAGUAGAGGUCAAGAUGGGAUCUCUGGGAUUUUGCUCUCCACUGGACCCACAUGAGGUUGGAUGGAGACCUCGUAGAUCAUGACCCAGAAACAAAUGGCAUAAUGACGGGAGUCUCCAGGCUAAAGAUGUCAAGGAUAUUCAGCUGAUCUCAGAGGUGAAUGGGGGCUUCCUGAUCAACCAGAAAGAAGCCAUUUCAUCAAAACGGGAGCUUCAAGAUAAAUCUCAGCAGCUCUAUGAGCCUCAUGACACUUGGACCUGCACUCUACUGUUUAUUUAUGCAUUUCUGCCAUCUGGUUAUACAAGAUUGUGGGCCAAACGGACAAAUACUGUGACCAUGCACUAAUAUACCAAUUUAUUUUUAUGUAUUUUUUAUUUUUAUAUGGAGAGCAUACUUAUGAUGAAAAUAUUAUUCACGUUGAAACUUGUAUUUAUUUCAUGUAAUUGAUUGAUCCUAACAAGUAUAUUUUUUGACAGCUAAAUAAAGGCUUUUUUUCUC